CAGGAAAUAGUUUAUAUAGAAUAUUAAUUUUGGAGAUUAAAGGAGGUAAUUUUAUUUUUCCUGA
rnacentral:tRNA from 1 species